rnacentral:rRNA from 1 species
UACGGAGGGUGCGAGCGUUGUCCGGAAUCACUGGGCGUAAAGGGCGCGUAGGCGGCCUUCUAAGUCGAACGUGAAAUCCCCGGGCUCAACCCGGGAACUGCGUCCGAUACUGGAAGGCUUGAAUCCGGGAGAGGGAUGCGGAAUUCCAGGUGUAGCGGUGAAAUGCGUAGAUAUCUGGAGGAACACCGGUGGCGAAGGCGGCAUCCUGGACCGGCAUUGACGCUGAGGCGCGAAAGCCAGGGGAGCAAAGCGGG